GCACAAGCGGUGGAGCAUGUGGUUCAAUUCGACGCAACGCGAAGAACCUUACCCAGGCUUGAACAGCGAGUGACCACUCCCGAAAGGGAGCUUCCGCAAGGACACUCGUAGAGGUGCUGCAUGGCUGUCGUCAGCUCGUGUCGUGAGAUGUUGGGUUAAGUCCCGCAACGAGCGCAACCCUUGUCUGCUGUUGCCAUCACGUUAUGGUGGGCACUCUGCAGAGACUGCCGGUGAUAAACCGGAGGAAGGUGGGGAUGACGUCAAGUCAGCAUGGCCUUUAUGUCUGGGGCUACACACGUGCUACAAUGGCCGAUACAAACCGUCGCGAUACCGCAAGGUGGAGCUAAUCGGAGAAAGUCGGUCUCAGUUCGGAUUGUAGGCUGCAACUCGCCUGCAUGAAGUUGGAAUCGCUAGUAAUCGCGGAUCAGCACGCCGCGGUGAAUACGUUCCCGGGC
rnacentral:rRNA from 1 species